rnacentral:rRNA from 1 species
GAUGAACGCUGGCGGCGUGCUUAACACAUGCAAGUCGAACGAAGCACUUAAGAUUGAUUCUUCGGAUGACGUCUUUUGUGACUUAGUGGCGGACGGGUGAGUAACGCGUGGGUAACCUGCCUCACACAAGGGGAUAACAGUUAGAAAUGACUGCUAAUACCGCAUAACCCGAUAGGAUCGCAUGAUCCAGACGGAGAAGAUUUAUCGGUGUGAGAUGGACCCGCGUCUGAUUAGCUAGUUGGUGAGGUAACGGCCCACCAAGGCGACGAUCAGUAGCCGGCCUGAGAGGGUGAACGGCCACAUUGGGACUGAGACACGGCCCAAACUCCUACGGGAGGCAGCAGUGGGGAAUAUUGCACAAUGGGGGAAACCCUGAUGCAGCGACGCCGCGUGAGUGAAGAAGUAUUUCGGUAUGUAAAGCUCUAUCAGCAGGGAAGAAAAUGACGGUACCUGACUAAGAAGCCCCGGCUAACUACGUG